AGUCUGCUAUAAAGACUUGAUAUCAUGCUGUCAGUUGCAGCAGAAGAAGAGAAGCUCCCAUCAGAUCACCUUCAAUACCAACCAUGUUCUCUGUAGCUCUGCUGCUGCUGCUGGCUGCUGGAUCCUGUGUGAAGUGUGAACAGUUGACACAGCCAGCCUCUGUGACUGUGCAGCCAGGUCAACGUCUGACCAUCACCUGUCAGGUCUCUUAUUCUGUGAGCAGCUAUCGCACAGCUUGGAUCAGACAGCCUGCAGGGAAAGGACUGGAGUGGAUUGGAAUGACAGCUGGAUCCACCACAUACUACAAAGAUUCACUGAACAACAAGUUCAGUAUCAGCUCAGACUCUUCCACGAAAACAGUGACUCUAAACGGACAGAAUGUGCAGCCUGAAGACACUGCUGUGUAUUACUGUGCCAGAGAGCGCCACAGUGACACAAAGCAUCAGUAGACCUGAACAAAAACC